AAAGCAGGGGAUCGUAAGACCUUGCGCUUUUGGAGUGGCCGAUGCCUGAUUAGCUAGUUGGUGGGGUAAGGGCCUACCAAGGCGACGAUCAGUAGUUGGUCUGAGAGGACGACCAGCCACACUGGGACUGAGACACGGCCCAGACUCCUACGGGAGGCAGCAGUGGGGAAUUUUGGACAAUGGGCGAAAGCCUGAUCCAGCAAUGCCGCGUGAGUGAAGAAGGCCUUCGGGUUGUAAAGCUCUUUCAGUCGAGAAGAAAAGGUUGCGACUAAUAAUCGCAACUUAUGACGGUAUCGACAGAAGAAGCACCGGCUAACUACGUGCCAGCAGCCGCGGUAAUACGUAGGGUGCGAGCGUUAAUCGGAAUUACUGGGCGUAAAGGGUGCGCAGGCGGCUCUGUAAGUCAGAUGUGAAAUCCCCGGGCUUAACCUGGGAAUUGCGUUUGAAACUACAAGGCUAGA
rnacentral:rRNA from 1 species